rnacentral:piRNA from 1 species
UCACCCAAGCAGUGUGCACCGUACCCAAUGU